GCAAGGGGAGCGGCAGACGGGAGAGUAACACGUGGGAACGUACCCUUCAGUUCGGAACAACCCAGGGAAACUUGGGCUAAUACCGAAUACGUCCGUAAGGAGAAAGAUUUAUCGCUGAAGGAUCGGCCCGCGUCUGAUUAGCUAGUUGGUGAGGUAACGGCUCACCAAGGCGACGAUCAGUAGCUGGUCUGAGAGGAUGAUCAGCCUCACUGGGACUGAGGCACGGCCCAGACUCCUACGGGAGGCAGCAGUGGGGAAUAUUGGACAAUGGGCGCAAGCCUGAUCCAGCCAUGCCGCGUGGGUGAUGAAGGCCCUAGGG
rnacentral:rRNA from 1 species